GUGGGGAAUAUUGGACAAUGGGCGAAAGCCUGAUCCAGCCAUGCCGCGUGUGUGAAGAAGGUCUUCGGAUUGUAAAGCACUUUAAGUUGGGAGGAAGGGUAGUAACCUAAUACGUUGCUACUUUGACGUUACCGACAGAAUAAGCACCGGCUAACUUCGUGCCAGCAGCCGCGGUAAUACGAAGGGUGCAAGCGUUAAUCGGAAUUACUGGGCGUAAAGCGCGCGUAGGUGGUUCAGUAAGUUGGAAGUGAAAUACCCGGGCUCAACCUGGGAACUGCUUUCAAAAAUGCUGAGCUAGAGUACGGUAGAGGGUGGUGGAAUUUCCUGUGUAGCGGUGAAAUGCGUAGAUAUAGGAAGGAACACCAGUGGCGAAGGCGACCACCUGGACUGAUACUGACACUGAGGUGCGAAAGCGUGGGGAGCAAACAGGAUUAGAAACCCGGGUAGUCC
rnacentral:rRNA from 1 species